UUCAACCUUUUUCCAGAUCUUCAUAUGUUGCUUUUUAUCAUUUUCUCUAACCUUCUGGCUCUUUUCAUCUCAUUAAAUAAAUAAGUGUUUCAAAUCCCCUUUUCUGCACCUUUAGUUUGUAGAUCUAUUUUUACAAGUGUCUCAUAAAUUAUAGUGAUGAAAUUUUUUUAAUAAUUCAAAUGAUUCAAAAAUUUUGAAUUUUGCGCGCUGAUGAUAUAUAAAGUCUUCCCAGAAAUAGGGAUAAAAACCGACGGUGACUUACUCUCUGAGAAGACUUUAAAUAUUUAUUCUAAUCAUCGUAAGGUUAUGAGAACACAAGAAGUCGACUAUAAGGAACAAAGAAUUUAAUAUUUAUUUCUUUAUUCUGCUUUCAUAUCUUUUCUUUUAUGCCAGUUGAUCUAGACUUUGUUACGUUAUUAAAAUUUUAAUGGAAUGAUAGAUAUGAAGUAAAUUUUGUUUUAAUUAAAAACAAAAUAAACAAUAGUUGACAACAUGGAUACAAACAGCACAGAUGACAAUAAAAAAUGUAUUUCAAAUACAUUUAGGAAUUCCAUAAUGAAUAAUGAGAAUGAAAACAAAAUUGGCUGUUGUAUUGAUAAUUAUUCGAGCAAAAUGUACUUAGCGUGUGAUUAUUCGAGCAAUAAUGAAUACCUUGGUUUCGAUUGCUGUUAUGAUGAUAUUGUUGAUGAAGUGAUUGACAAAAAAGAUGUAAGAAAUACAAGAAAUCACCUGAGUUGCAAUUUACAUUCUACUGAAAUAAUAAGAUGGUAUUGUUAUCCAUGUGAGCAACUUAUAUGUAUUGAAUGUCUGUUAACUGCCCAUGAAACUUUAAAACACCGUUAUGAAAAUAUAACUCAAACUGCGAAAUUCGUUUCAAUAAAAAGUUGGCUGAUAUAGUUUUACAAAGUAAUAAUCAAAUUAACGAAUGGAAAAAUACUCAGUUAUAUGAAAAAACUUUGCGUGAAAUGGACUUUCAAUAUGUCCAGGUUGAAGAUAAAAUUAAUGAAAUCUACGAGACUUAUACGACUAUUUUAAUAGAGAUAAGAGUCUAGUUAAUCUAAGAGAACUACGUGAAAAACGUAAAACUGAAGUUGUUGAUGCAUAUAUCACAAAGUGAAUAAAUUUGUCAUGGGGAUCAAAGAAAAUGUACAGAAGAGUACAUCAAGUUACUUGAAGGGAGAAAAUUACUGGGAUAAUAUCAACUUCAAGGCCACACUGUAAAUUUUCAAUUUAAUCCAAGAUGUUUUGAGAAAGUUAUUAAUGAUUUUCAUGAAAUUCGUGCGAAAGAUAAAAUCAAUAAUUUACAAAGAAUUUAUCAUUCAUCUAAUCCUUUCAUGAACGAAUUGACAGAGACUCAAAAGUUAAAACUUGAGCAGUUAAUGAAUAAUAAUCUGAUACUUGAUUAAAAUAAUAUCAAUCAAGAUGCUGAUAUUAAUUCUUCAAUAUCAAAUAAGCAAACGGUUACUAAUACAAAUCUUAAUAUUGAACAUCAUCCAGAAGAAAAGUUGAGCGUUUCUAAUAAAAUUAAUUCAACUUGUUCAGCUGGUUAAGAUCUUGUUAUUAUUUCACUAAUAUGAUGAAUACACAAUUUACAAACAAAUAAAAUAAUAAUAUACAUAUGUUACAUUCUGUGAAGUUUCUAAUGAAUCACCAAUAAAAUAUGUGUUAGCUGGAAACAUUGACAAGAGACAAAAAAUAUCGAUGAGGCUUCAAAGAAGAAUUAAUGAAUUUCCAUGCCCGCAAGAUCUUUGCUUGAGUGAAAAUGGAGAUAUUAUAGUAGCACCCGAUGAAAAAAGAUUUUAUACAAUUGUAUAAAAUUAUAUACAAAAAAUGGCCCGAUCCAAUUGUAUACAAUUGUAUAAAAAUUGUAUACAA